rnacentral:rRNA from 1 species
UGGGGAAUUUUGGACAAUGGGCGAAAGCCUGAUCCAGCAAUGCCGCGUGUGUGAAGAAGGCCUUCGGGUUGUAAAGCACUUUUGUCCGGACAGAAAUCCUUGGCUCUAAUACAGUCGGGGGAUGACGGUACCGGAAGAAUAAGCACCGGCUAACUAGGUGCCAGCAGCCGCGGUAAUGCGUAGGGGGCGAGCGUUAAUCGGAAUUUCUGGGCGUAAAGCGUGCGCAGGCGGUUUGCUAAGACCGAUGUGAAAUCCCCGGGCUCAACCUGGGAACUGCAUUGGUGACUGGCAGGCUAGAGUAUGGCAGAGGGGGGUAGAAUUCCACGUGUAGCAGUGAAAUGCGUAGAGAUGUGGAGGAAUACCGAUGGCGAAGGCAGCCCCCUGGGCCAAUACUGACGCUCAUGCACGAAAGCGUGGGGAGCAAACAGGAUUAGAUACCCCCGUAGUCC